UAGGUAAUUCAAUUUUCUUUGGAUUAGCAUAAUAUAUAUUUUCCUCUACCUUUUCUCUUAACCAUUUUGUAUUCUUAAGUGUUAUAUGCUUAUCUUGUGAACACUAAAUAAUUAAAAAACCCAUUCAGUCUGGCAAUCUUUGUUUUUUAUUUGGAGUGUUUAGUCCAUUCAUAUUUAGUAUAACUCCUGUUAUAUCUGUAUUUAAAUACCCUAUGCAAUUGAGUGCUUUUCUUUUAAAUCUUGGGUUUUAUUUUUAUAGUUCUGGGGAUUGAACCCAGGACCUUGUGCAUGUUAGGUAGGUGCUGUAUCACUGUAUUACAAACCUAGUCCCUUAGUUAGUGUUUUCUAUUUGUCCCAUCUAAAUUUUAUGAUCAUGUUUCUCUAACUUUAUUGCUUAUUUUUAAAUUUUUAAUGUAUUUUUCUAGUUGUAGGUGGACACAAUACCUUUAUUUUAUUUUUAUGUGGUGCUGACGACCGAACCCAGUGCCUCACGUGUGCUAGGUGAGCACUCUACCACUGAGCCCCAGCCCCAGCCCCCUUAAUUGCUUAUUUUAGAUUGAUUUUUAAAGCAUCACACUUACUUUAUUUCUUUGGAAAUUGCAUAUUCUUUUUACUACUCUUUUGGUUAUGAGCCUAAGAUUACAGUAUGUAUUCUUAUAUCAAUGGGUACUUUUUACUCUUCAGGCAUUUGAAGAAUCUGGACCACUCUUCAUUUACUUUCCUCAAAUUUUAUAUUAUCAUCAUGCAUUUUAAACAAUAUAUGUUUUUUGAAUAUAUUUUUUAGUUAUACAUGGACACAACAUCUUUUAUUUCAUUUUUAUGCAGUGCUGAGGAUUGAACCCAGUGCCUGAUGCAUGCCAAGCAAGCCACUCUACCACUGAGCCAAAAACCCAGCCCUAAGCAAUGAUCUUGCAGUGAUGCCCAGGUUGACCUCAAAUUCCCAGGCUCAUGGGAUCCUCCUGCCUCAGCCUCCUGAGUAGCUGGGAUUACAGCUCACAGCUUUGAAGCGCCAGAAAUCCAGUCUGGAGGGAGAUGGGUGGUGUCUUCACCAUCUUGUGCUUCCUGCUGGAGUUUCCUCGUGCUCCCGGGCUUCUUGUCCUCAGCCGUGCUCUGCUGUGGUUCAAAACAAACUAGAAGGCAGAGAUUAAAGCAAUGCAAGUCAAACACAGUCUGGUCCACAGAGGGCCACUGGGGAUGUGUGGGGAUCCAAACUCCUGGGUUGCUUUCAACAGACCGAGAAUCACUGGUUGGGAACGUGGAUCUGACUGAGCAAUGGGAGCCUGGCCUUUGGGAGCUGGCCUGUGCAUGCCCUGCGUGCGUGGGAGACAUGGGACUUGUCCUUCUUUGAGGCUCCCUGGCAUAGACUCCUUGCUCGCCAUCACUUUUUCAUUUUCUAUUGCCCACAACGAAGUUCAGUUUCCAAGACCAUCGCCCAACUUAUAUGCACCCACGAGGUUUGGGAUUGGUGUUAACACUAUAGCUGCCUGAGUAGCUACUUUGGCAGGCUAAGGUUCUGACCCUAUGUUACCCGUCCCUGUCUUUGGGACUGGAGGCUGAAUUCCAUGCCCCACCCAUUGGGGGCACUGCAGGCUCCAGGGUCCUGAGCCCCUGCCUGGGCUGAGAGGUAGGCUGCGGGGACAGGAGGGGCUGAUGCUGGCCUCAUGCCAUCAGGGUCAAGGGCCAGUGGUGCACACUUUGUCUCCUAUCCUGGGGUCAGCCAGGCCUGCACGGACUCAUCCUCAGCCUAUAUCUGCAGUAUAUGCCUCUGAAGUUUCCAUCAAUAGGGGGCGGCUGGGUAUACAAUGAUGAGGAAGGGUAUAGGCUCCGGGGAAGACCCAGGCACCCAAACCAGCACGAGUAUCAGGUCACUUCCCUUUUCCUCCCCCACAUGUGCCUUUCUGGUCUGUUGCACUGGGAGCCAGCUGCUAGCAGCCUGGGAAGGGCUGAGGUGCUCUCAGAGGCCAGCGUCUCCACAGGGAAGUGUUCCUUAUUCGCCCCUGGUAGGAAUGGCCAGGGAAGCCCAACAGAGAGACCGAGAGGGAUCUUCUCCCAUGUGCUCUCCCUCAUGGUGAGAAUCCCAUCCCGAAUGCAGGCAGGGUCCCCAUGCUGCCACCCCAGCUCCUGCCUUGUUGUGAGGAUGGUGCAGAGGGCUGUGGAGCCAGGGUUAGCUGGGUGGGGAGGGCUGCUGGAGGACUUGCUCAAGCAGGCUGCAGCAAGGCCUUGGGCACGGUGUGGUUACCUCACACCCAGGGACCUGCAGGUGCAUGCUGGGCUGUUUCUGGGUUGGCACCCAGACCCUUGGCCCUCACUGCCACACGAAUCUGCCUGGAGGAGCCAGGUGGGUGCUGCUUGCUGACCCUAGCCUGGCCAGGACAGCCUGGGGAGGAGCUGCAACCCAUGGGGUUGAGUGGGCACAGGGCCAUCAGCCAGGCCUACCAGACUCUGGUGAGAAGUCACCUGCCAGGGGCCUGAGGGCUACAGGGAGCCCCUGACCCAACACCCCAGAAGGCAAAGCCCAUCAGAGGUUGAGUUCCAUGGUUCCCCUAAGCUUUCUGUCUCCGGCUGUCCCUAUUAAAGGAGGGACAGUGGUUCAGGCUGCUGAGGUGGGGUGCUCAAGACCUGGCAGCUUGCCCAACAGACAUCCAUUUCUUGAAAAUCUGGAGGCUGGACAUGUAGGACCAGGAUGCCAGAGGGGCUGGGGGCUGUGAGGGCCCUUUUCUGGGGUGCAGAUGGCGCCUUCUAACAGAGUCCUCUCAUGCGAAGGUGAGUGGGGCUGCUCUCUGGGUUCAUGUAUGUAAGGGUCCUAUUUUAGGGUUCCACUCUGUGACCUGUCUGGCUCCCAAAAACCUCACCUCCUAAUACCGACACAUUGGGAGGGGCCAGGUUUCAACAUAUGAAUCUUGGGGUGACACAGACAUUGAGUCCAUGGCAGAACAGGUGCCAUAGACCCAAUACUACUGCAUUUCACUUCUCACAGAAACCCUGCCGGCAGAGGAGGAGACUGGCUCAGAGAGGUGGAGAUGCUGCCUGGUGGGCCAGCGGCCACGGCCGAGUUGGGGGGCUGGCCUAGGGUGGUGCAGAUGCCAGGACCAGUCCCCUCCCAGGGACAGGGAGUGACCUCCUCUGAGAGGACCGGGCUCCUUUCCAGCUGAGAGUGGGCAAGAUCAGCAACUGCUGUGGCCAGGACUCUGUGGGGCAGGGUGUUGGGUGGGGGUCCCAAGGGAAGGCUUUGGCUGGUCCUGUUCGGGAGUCCUCUCUCCCUUUCCUUGGCCACAGGAAGGCUGAGAAUGAAGAGGCAUCACCCACCUCCUUCACUCCUCAGGGAUCCCACAAGACCCAGCUCUUCCAUGCAGCCAUUCGAUCCUUACGCUUUGUGUGACUACUGGCCCCACUACGCUCCUGUGAGAUAUGGCAGCUUACUGCCUCCCUCCCAACAAGCAAGGGACCUGUGCUCUUUUUUGUCCCAGGCUGGUGGCCUGGAACGGGACCCUGUUGAUUCAGAGUGGCUCAUGUACUAAGAGGAAGUUGUGUGGCUGGGUUCCUGCAACAGAGCACCUAAGGCCCAAGAUGUGUGCACGUGUGCCCCGUUGUCCCCAGAGGCUGGCUAUGGUCUGGUGGCAGAGGUUCACUCCCAGGGAGGAAGAAAUCACCAAGUGACAAGUGAUGUUUUGGGUAAAGCCCUUCUUGUUCCUCCCUCACCCACCUGGGGCUCCUAGGCUUCCUGGUGCUUCCCCCUGCUGUUGUUUCACUGGGGAGGGACCAGGGCAGGGAGGGGACAGCUGGGGAAACAUUCCUGAUUCUCUGUGCAUUCCUUUCUUCCUGUCCACUGGUGAUUCCUGAUCUGCUUUGGGGUAGGUAAAUAACUCUUCCCUAUCAACAUCUGACAUCCCCCAAACUCUGUGGCAUGAACCAUCACCCCAGGUUGGCUCUUGGUGUGUGAGGUUCAUCCUAUGGAAUUCUAAGGAAAUCUCUCUCCAUACAGCCUGGUUUUGCAAAUCAAAAGCUCUUUGAUUUUUUUCAGACUGCUUCAGCUAGAGACAGACAAAGUCUACACAAGAGUCUCAAACAGGAUCGCAGCUUGCUGGUUUCAGCAUGCGGGAAGCAAUCCUGCCCCCUGGACAGCAGGGUCCAGGCAGGUUGGCACCCAUUGUUCUGGGGGCAACUGUUCAUCUCAGACUUUAUAAAUGUGCUGACGAUCACCUGAGGGGGGAAACGUUCUGAGUUUGCAAAUGAGCUGGUAUGGGAGCCUUGGCUAGGUCUGGGAAGUCCGGGAAGCAGCCACCUCUUACUGCCUUAGACUGCCACCUUGCUAGGUAUGCAGAAUGAAGGGACUUCUGGAAGGCAGAGACAGCCACUGCGGAGCCCACAAGGGCUACACAGGAGGUGGGCCUGGAGGUGGCUAUGGGGAGAUACUGACCAGGCGCCUAGAAAGAGAGGCAUUUCCAGUGCAAUCAGUGGGAUUGAAGGUGUGGGAGACAGGCGUUCACUGAGUGGCCAGGGCCAGUCUGAUGGCUCUGAGGCUUUGUGUUGGAGCAUGGCAAAAGAGGAGGUCAGAGAGGUGGGCUGGCUGGGCACGGAGUCUUGGAAAGUUGACUGAGGGGUGGUCUGGGCUCACUAAGGAGUGAGCCACAUUCCAGGAGGAAGUUAGGGACAGGUGGAAGUGAGGUGCCAGAGGACAGCGACAGAUGCUGUUAUGGAGGCCCAGCAUGGUGGACUGCAGUGGGCAUGAGGAGGGGAGGGGAGGCCUGAGUGGGCAGCACCCUGUGGGGGAAUCACCAGGUCUCUGGAGCUGACUCUGGAGGUGCAAGGAAGCUUCAGGUCUGUGGGUGGGAAGCCAGCCAGGCUUCAGCAGCACUGGGGAAGCCUGGAGGGGUCCCUGUUGGGCAGCACUGGUGGCACUGCAGGGUGGUGACAUUCAGUAGCCAGCUGGCCCUGGGGGCAUGGAGGCAGCAGAGUGGCCAGGACUGUGGUGACAUAUAGAUUCUGUGCAGGAUGACCCUGCAGGAGGUGAGACUGCAGGUGGAUGGCCUCUGGGGAGGGCGCCUGGAGCAGAGCCAUGGCCCCGGGAAAGCCCAGGGGCAGCCACACUGCCCAAUGCACUGGAACAUCUCAGAGGAACUGGACCUAGGAGAGGAGCACUCUGCCCCUGGGUGACAGCUGGGGCUUUCUCCUGCUCCACCUGCCGAUUUCAGUCUCAUAAGGCAUUUUUCUUAGUGAGCGCAGUGGAGACCAAAGCCUCUCAGAACAGGAGAGUGGGAGCCUGAAGAAGGGCCUUCUGGAUCCCUCCAGGGCCCAGGGCAGUCUUGACGCCACCCCUGUGCCCCCUGACACUGUCCCCCAGGCCUCAUGCCCUGUAGAGGGACAAGGCGAUUUCCCAGGCCGCUCAGGAGUUUAUAUUUUCUUCCUUUCUACUUUUUCUUUUGUUCUAACUAGUUUUACAUGACAGGGGAAUGCAUUUUGACACAUCUUUUUUUUUUAAAUAUUUAUUUAUUUAUUUUAGUUUUCGGCGGACACAACAUCUUUGUUUGUAUGUGGUGUUGAGGAUCGAACCCGGGCCGCACGCAUGCCAGGCAAGCGUGCUACUGCUUGAGCCACAUCCCCAACCCCUUGACACAUCUUAUGUAAAGGGAUAUCAGGGGGUUAUAUUUCUGUCAUCACAGACUCCUAAACAAGUGCUCUCAGGAUGGUGAUUUUUCGGGGUGCACCCCCAGCGGCAGUUGCGUUUCUGGGCUGGUGAUUAAAGAUGGCUAUGCAGGUGGGGGUGGUAGGAUGCAUCCCAUUUUUUCCGCACAAGAUCUUUUCCAACUAAAUGAAUCCUGCGGCUGGCUGCAUACCCUGAGAUCCCCCCUCUCCCAGCAACGAGCCGACCACAGCACCAGGCCUGGACACAGCAGCUUCCCGCCCCAGCCCUCCCGACAGCCAGCAGAAGCCAAUCAGUCAGGGUGGAGAGGUGGCCCUGGGCUGUCUGGCUCUCCUGGCAGUGCUGUUCACAGGCUGGCUGUUGAAGGGACACUCUUUCCUUCGCCCUGCGCCCUCUGAAGGUGAAGACUGGGCUUCCGCCUCCCUGUGAGCACCUGUUCCCUACCGUUCCGACAGUUUGACUAACUCAUCAAGCUUUUUGUGCAGCACAUACUCUGGCAGGAACAGAAGCAGCAUGACACUCGCUGGAUACGGGCUGCGCAAGCACCACCACGUGCUCCCAGAGCUAGGCCAGCAUCCUGGGCGUAGCUGAUUGGCAUUCUGUCUCAUGCCCACCAGCUCACAGUGGCGGAAGCUAUGGACACGUGGAUGGGGAGGGGAGGUUUGUGGGGUGUGCUCACAUAGUUCUUCUCCAUUUGAGAGAAGCCCACUGUAGGAAAGGCCCCAGUCUGAGGCAGUCACAGGCCCGAGUUCGGGCACCUUGGGAAAGUGUGUCCUCACACUCUACUGACCUGCCAGGGCCAGCGUGGCCAGUCCUCUGUCCUCAGGCUUCUGGUCCCAUGAUGGUCACUAGGUGUCCAGAGCAGGAGGACAAAAGGAUUUUGAGGUCAUUUGGACACACUCACCAAGACCAUUGCUGGUCCAUGAAGCUCUCACUGUCCUAGCUGAAGGGCAACAUCUCCUCUGCUGGAAGCUGAGGAUACUGCCUUAUGGUGCGGAUGCUGCAUAUGCGAUGUCACACACGAAGCCUGCCUCACUUCUUGAGAGGGUCUGUGGCUUCAGUCCCUCUGAAGGAUGCAGGAUGGAGAGCCCUGCAUCUAGGGCUGAUCCCAGAAAUGAGUUCCAGGGGUCUAUGCUGAGGCUGCUGGUCCUGCUAGAGGUGAUGUGGCCUCUCCCUUGACCGGCUGCAAUUGCUUGGGGAAAAAGGCACACACCAGGUCAGGAGCGGUUCUUAUCCUAGUGAGGCUGACCCCAGAGCUUCUAGGCCUCGAGGAUGCACUGAUGGGCCCAGCAUGGUGCUGACAGGUGGACAGGCAGAGGCUUGCCUUCCUGGGGCUUACCACCUGGAGCAUGGCAUUUGCACAUUCUCUGUGAAGAGCCAGAUAGUAAGCAUUUCCUACCUUGUGGGCUGUGGGUCUCUGUCCUAACUAGCCAUGUGGUCACUGUAGCUGUAGGUGGAUGCCUUGGUGUUCCGAUAAAACCUCACGUUUUUGGUCAGAUUUUGCAAUUUCUUACUACCCAGAUUUUCCCUCUGAGCCUCUGAAGGAUGGGAACAUGUUCUUGCUCCUUUUCUUUUUCCCAGAGCCUAGCAUGGGGCCUUACUCAGUUUACACCCCCCAGUCAUUUCAAGAAGACGCUGGGGGCUCCAGUUAUGCUGACAGUUCACACACUGGGCCGCCCUUGAAGGGCCUAAGUGCUGCCCACUGAGGUGCACACCUCUCACAGCGGAUACUGGCGCUGGGGCACUUUCUAGUUCAUUCUGUUGUCUUUUCUAUUCCCUCCUUUCCUUCCCUUUCUCCCUUUUCUUCUUCUUUCUCCUCUCACCUAUUUUCCUAAACAUUUAUUAGGCACUUUCUGUGUACAGACACUAUGCUUGGCUCUAGAGACACAAAGAACAGUCAAGACAUAAGGUUGGUCCACAAGGGGCUUCGAUGAAGGGAGAAGAGGCCUGUUCUGCCUCAGGAUGCUGAGCUGUGGGCACAUGGGCCCAGGCCUUGCCUCUCCCCCAAAGCAGGGAGUGGGCAUUAGCUUCCAGUGGCUGCCUCAGCCUCUGAGCCACGGGUUAAAUCUGAGGCUGUUCUGCAAGGGCGCGGGCCUGGCUGGUGUUGUUUCUAGGCAGAGGCUGGAACCUGUGUCUCUUGUUUUGAUAAAGCUUUGCUGUCAGAGUUUGAGCAAUAGGUGUGGAUAUCUUGAAGCAAGAUAGUGGCCAAGUCCUCAUCUAGGAAGCAGAGAGCUAAGCUGAAGAGGAAAUUUGCAACCAAGGGAAACAACCAGCAGGGACCAGAUCAGAAAAAGGUGGAAAAACAUAACCCAGAGGCACACUUUGCUUUGUUUAGAACACAUUUUCCUGUGAACCCCAAAAGCUGUGCCAGGUGUGUGAUGAGCAGCCGUGGACGGCGGAGCCCACCUGGGGCCUGCUUCCCACUCCCUCCCUGCUCUGCUCUCAGGUGUCAUCUUGGAGCUGGCGCUGCCAGGUCACAUGGUCCUGUGCACCCUGUACUGUUGGAGGUUAGCACGUGUCCAGCCCACUUUACCCAGGAUCUCUCAAUGGCCGUGAAGCCUUCUGCACUGUCCCGUUAAUCCUCAGGUGCUCUCUGGUUCUGGCCUCAUUGAGAGGCCACGGGUUCAUUUCUCCUAAGAUGUCUUCCAGCCAGUGUAUUCUCUGACCUGGGGCUUGGUCUCAAGGCCUCCGGCUCACAGAGACCUAGCCGGGGACAGCCCUGGCUCUGGGCAAGGACAGGAGAGAACCCCAGAGGCAUGCACACAGUUUUUGGGUAUGUGGGUGCCAGCUGAGGUCCCAGCCGGGUUUCCUAGGAAGUCCAAGUAUCACAUCCCACACCUUGGGUGGAAGGGAAAGAGGACAGAGGUGGGUCAGUUGGGUGAGGGGCUCCCAGGGACCCAGGUCCAGAGGGUGAGUGGACUUUUAUCCCUUUCAGGGACUGGAGGAUCAAAGUGCAAAAGAUCCCAAAACUUCCUGUCACCAUACCUCACUAAUUAGGCAACUCCUGGCAAUUCGACUUUGGACUUUGCUCUUGAAAAGAAAAUCCUGGUAGAUCCAGGAACUCGGCAAGAUGUCAGCGUUUGCUCAGGGGUUGAGGUCCCCUGAACCAUCUAGGUCACCUGCCCCAGACUGGUGGUUAGUCAUGGCCUGAUAAUAACAAGAGAGUACGUCAAGCUUCACGUGUGCUUUGGCAUUCAGUGCUCAUAUCUGUGUGUCUUGCCGUGACCUCGAGGAUGAGCAACGGUGGCCUACUAGGUGCUCACCUUCGAGCACCUGCUGCCCUCCUGCCCCUGUUCCAUGCACGGUCGACGCAUCUUCUCUCUCAAUGCUCACUGUAGCCGUGAGUGAUGCAGCUGUCACAUCAGGAGUGGACCAGGCUCCCGCAGGAUGGGGAACAGGCCUGCCCACAGGUCUCAGGGGGCCACCAUCUUCCCAGGCCAUGGAACAGGGAGAGACCAGGUUAUCUGGCACCUGGACUCCCAUCUGGAGCUUGAUGCAAGUGCCCCCAGCAGAGGUAGAAGGUGAAAGGAGCUGGCCUCAGAUGGCCCCUGUGACCACUGCCUUGUUGCCCACCCAGUGUUGCUCUCUCUUGGGAAGAUGGUGUCACCUACCUUGGCCCCAGUCUGUGGGUUCAGGGUGAAGACCCCUGUGUAUCCAGCUGCUCAGCUGAGAGGACUGUUAUGAACAGGGUGCAGGGCAGGAGGGGGCAGGGACCUCUUCCAGGGCUGCUGCAGGCCCCGCUGUGCUGGAGAAACUGGAGAGGACCGUGGCUCCAGGAGCAGACAAACCCUGGACAAGGCAAGCCCAGGAGCAGGAGCCUGUCUGCCCGAGAGCCAGCAAGGCCCCCUGACUUCAUCCUGGUGCUUUGUGAGUGUCUGCCGGCAAAUCCUGGGUGAUGGAGAGUGAUCCUGCUCCUUAUGGAGAGCAAAGACUCCAAAGCAGCACUGUCCAGGAGCAAGAUCCUGAGCUCCAUCAUGGUCUACUGCCUGGCAACUUCAACCGUAUCCCUGAUUCUCUCCUUGCUGGCCAGCUUUGCCCCAGUGGCUCCCCUCCUGCAAAUAGGGCAAAAGGCAUGGAGAUGAGACCAGAGUGUCCGGCUCUGGGGGUUUGAUGGACCGAGACAGACAAGUGAGCGUACAAGCAAACAUUUUGAAAACGAGCGCAUGAGUCAAUGGUCAGGACUGGUGCACGUUGAUUGGGGUGGAUGUAACUGAAGGGUCACUAGUAGGAUUUCCACAGCCAGCUGGCUCAGGGCCUCUCUGGUCACCCUGGGAAAGCCUUACUUUUUGAAAGGUUCCAGUCCUCUCUCAGUGAAAACACACGGGUGUGACAACACCCAUGGUUCCCUGACCUCCACAGACUGAGGUCUGAGCCCAUUGAAAUCAGGUGUCUGAAGUCACGCAGAAUGGCUUUCAGUGGUGCUGUGAGCCGACCGUUUCAGGGUACUCCUUCCUCCGAUUUCACAGAUGUGUCGGUUGGAUUUUAUUCUUAAGUGGCCUAAGCCAAAAGCAUCUUCUCCCAGAAACAGCAGGUUCAUUUCAAUUCAAUAUUUCACUUUGGACAACUGCUUGCCUUCAUUUAGCGCCGCAUGCUGGGACUUGGUCUCCCCGGGCGUUCUGGCUUCCCUCCCGUUAGCGACGGUGGCAGCAGUGCAGACAGAUUGAGGCCCCAGGAAGGCGGACCCCCCAACUGCGCGGCAGCAGUGAGCUGGGAGCAGAGGCUGUGCACGCUAAUGGUUGUGAGUGCUGCUUUUCCAGCCAUGAGCUGUCUAUAUCGCAUUUGCGUGGAGACACAAAACAUCUAACUAUCAGACGAAGCCAGACGCAACACCCAGCACAGAGAGGACAGCGUCUUCUCCAGCUGUGUCUGGUGCCCGGGGUCACCGAGGGGAAAAAUGACAAUGCCUUGUGUGCUGGGUGGUGGGUGGCUACAGGAUUUAGAGAAGUCUCUCUCACUACCCCAGGCAAAAAACCUUCGUUGUCCUCUGCCUGGGUAGAUUACUCCUGCAGACACUGGUCUGAGUCUAGGCUGAGCCCAGUCUGCCCUGCAGGGCUUCUCUGGUACUGGGGGUUGCAAAUGUGGAAUUCUGGGGGCAGCUCUCCAGGCCCAUGUGGAAAGAAGUGCUGAGACAGAACACAGAGGGCCCUGGAGGCCCGGGGCUGCAGCGCAGGGCUGGCCUCCGGCUUUUGUAGGUGAGGAGGGCCAUCCUCCUGCAGCACAGGUGUGCAGUGGUCUUGGGGCCGGGCAGGUGGGCUUGUUUGCUCUGCUGCUUCCUGUGGACAGUGUCCAUGGCUCUGGGAGGCUCUCUGCCAUCACAGGUCAGGUUGAGCGGCUUCCAGCUCAGGGUAUCUGGGUGUACGUGCCUCCUGAAAAGCCUUCUCUCCCUGGACUGGGAGCAGCUUCUUCUGCCCAGCAAAGGAAGUAGGUGAGAGGGAGGAAGACCCCUAUGUGUGGCUGGUGGCAGUGGCUCAGAGCCACAUGGGGCAGGGGAGACCCUGCUCUUACUGAUCUCCUCCUUGGAGGGAAGGUAUUAGGGCAUCAAGAACAUUCUUGCUGCUCAGACAGAGUCCUCUGGAGAAGGCGGCCCAGGUGGGUUAGGGUUAGGCACUUCUGUACUCUGGAGAUGGGAGCCUCGUCUGUGAUAGUUCUGACUAGGCUGCCUGUCACAUCUGCACAAUGGGAAGCUGGGCCAGAGGGUUUUACGGUCCACACUGAACUUGAGGUUCUGGGAGGGCAGUCAGAGUUUAGUUACAAUCUUUGUUUUCCAGGAGACCCAAGUUCAAGUCCCAUUCCCCAGUUUCUUGUUGCUGUGCAGCCUAGGACAAGCCACUCCCCUCUCUGUACUGUCCUCCCAGCACAGGUGGUUGGUAUGAGGAGCAGUCUGGCUCACAGGGCUUGUCCUGGACAGUGGUUUCUUUCCCUACAUCUCCUUUGAGUUGGCAGAGGCCCACAGACAACCAACCCCAUCUCCGGAGCAUAGACCUUGUCUACCGCAUAGCCAAGUUUCCCAUGCACUCCAGAUUUGAGGACGGCCAGCUGCCGUGUAAUUCAAAUGAGAGCCCUGUUGCCCUUUGAGGACAAGCCUCAUGUAAGGUCCACCUGUCACCUGAGUCUCUGUGGCCCAGCUCAGUGCAUGGCCUCUGCUAGUGCUGAGACACCAGAUGCCUAUAGCCUCAUGUCUGCCCUGCAAGGGGUGCUAGCCUAUCCAGGGGCCACAGGGCUGGGUUUUCGACCAGCUCAUGUGGUGCUGGCUUGUCUGCAUGUGUCAGUGCUGAAGCCCUGUGAAGAACCCUCUCCUGCCCCUUCGAUGCCUGCCCCAGUCUCCAGAUAAGAUGGGAAGGGAAGUGGACGAGGGACUCCAUUCAGCCUGACCUCAGUUAACAUUUCAGCUCUGCCAGGCAUCAGCUGUGCAUCACAAGAGAGGUCACUGAGCUCCUGAGUCCCAGCUUCUGGUCUGUAAAAGCGGGUGCUGAUUCCCUUGGCAGGAGGGGUGUGAACAGCAAAGGCUGCCAAGUCUCUGCACAUGGGAGGCAUCGGCAGAAACAUUUCUGUUGUUCAGAGCAAGGUACUUGUGCCCUGGACCAGCGUCAUCAGCAUCACCUGGGAACUUGUGAGCAAGGGAAUUGUCAGACCCUCUCCCCAUGUGCUGAGUUGGAACCAAAGAGAUGGGGUGACGCCAUGGAUCUGACUGUUCACAGCCCUGCAAGUUCUACAGCAUGGUAAGGCCAGAGACCUCGGACUUGGAGAUAUGUUGCAAACUUCUUCUUCCAUGGUAUUUCCUUGCCUGGUUCUGCUUCCUUCCUCCGAAUGGGACUUGGGAGAGACUCCGAACUUGGGAGGGCAGUGAGUCUGGGCUGGAUCUGUCAGCUGGGCUUGGAUAAUGUUUGCUGGAUUGGAGGCAAGAGAAAGGGCAGUAGGACCCUUGGGUCCUGUCCUCCCCUGGGUGCAGACAAGGGCCUCUUAUCUGUGCCUGUCUGGGAGGGCUGCCCCUCCUCAUUCCCUGGACAGGAGUGUGCGGCUCCUGUGCAGUCUGUCUCCCCCUGCUGCCUGUCACCUGGGCACACUAAGGAGACACGAUUGUGGAGGCAUGCAGUGGGUGCUUGAACCCUUUGUGGGACAUGAGAGGAUGGGCACUCUGUAGAGUACUACAGAGCACUUCUGGGAGAAGCACAAGGGGACAGAGAGUGGUGAUUCAGAUGCAGGCCCAGCCUGGGGGCACUUGAGCUGUAGCCAUCCCAGGUGUCCAUCAAUUCCACAUGUGGGCAGCAAGCCAGGUGCUUUGAAUGCAGAGUUAAUAAUUAGGUAAAAUCAAACGGUCUAUUCUUGAAUACGAAACAGAGCAGCAUAAUGAACUUGUAAAACCUUUUAGAUUCUUUUCAGCAUGGUGACAAGUUUUUUUAAGUUGUUUUGAAGCUUCUUUUCUCGUGUGGUUUUUAUUAUGGUAAAAUAUACAUAACAUAAAAUUUACCCUUUUAACUAUUUUUACGUACAUAGGUCUGGGACAUUAAGCACACUCAUGUAGUUCUGCAAACGUCACCACCAUCCGUCUCCGGAACUUUUCCAUCUUCCCAAAAUGAAAUUCGGUCCCCAUUAAACACUAGCUCCUGUCCUUCCCUCUCCUUGGCCCCUGACGGCCACUUAUUCCAUUAAAGCCCUGACUGAGAUAAAAGGAGGUGGUGGGAGGUUCUAAGAAACCCCUCCUUCAAGAGUAUACUUAAGAACCCAGUUUUCUUGAGGCAGGACCUCUGCUUGACCUCCAGACGUGAGCACAGCACAGAGGUAUAGACGUAGGCGGGAACGUUGGGCCCCUUUGGAAUAGUUGCACAUGCUUUAUUUUGCCCUUGAUGAAAAGAGCCGUGUUAAGUUUAUAAAAGAGCACUUGCAGAAGAAGAAAGCCUUGGACCCAGCCAUGGCCUUCCUGAGUUGUUGACAGCUGUUAUUCACUGAAAACCUCCCUGGAAACAAAGAGAUAUUGCAGCAUUGUUCAGCGUGGGUGUUUGAAGUGGCCUCCUUCCAGAGCUCUGCUGAUGGAGGGGCCGGGUCUGGGCCAGGGCCUCGUGCCUCCUGCUUUCUUCCUAUAGCUGCUGCAGCUUCGAAGGAGCCUGGGAGUGUCCUGAAGCAGUCCAACUUGCAGGCAGUCCUUUCUUCCACGUGCCUGUGACUUCCUGAUGCUCUACUACUCCCUUCACAGGGCUGUGCUGCUUUGGCAGAGAAGCAAAGAUGACAGGCACCUUCAGGACCCCUGCUUGUCGAUGUCCCUGGGAUAUCACCUGAGUGCUAGGGUAGGAAGAAUCUGGGGCACUUAAGAAAAACGGAAAGUGGCCAUUUUUUUCCCCAGGAAGGGAGGUACCCACGUCCACAUCCUGCAUCUUCCUCUUUGUGAAAUCCAUGCUGCGGGCCGGCCCUGGAUGCUGUCUGCAGGCCUGUCCCCGCUGGGUGCUGACAGCGUGGGCCCCUGUGCCUUGCUGAGUCAUCUCGGGCUCACUUUUCCCACCAGUGCAACGGGGUUAAUGACGCCUGCCCCGGCUGGGGACUCAAACGAGAAAACCUAGGUGAAAGUGACUUGAAACUCAGAAAGUGCCUUCCACGUGGCCUGUGGUGGCCUUGUGGCGGGCAUCCCUCUGGGGGAGACCUGCGGAGCGGGUUUGGCAGGGCCUCCGGAUGGGGUCUCUGGGGGGGGGAGCCCCUCCAUCCCCCGGCUCACUCACCUCCAUCCCCCCCACUCACCUCCCACGGGUAUGAUCAUUUCCUACGUGGGCCCUGACAAUGGAGGGGAAGCCCUUUGGAGAGGUCCGUCCGGGUAAGAGCAGGUGAGGCAGGUCCUGGACGGGGCUCCCAACUCACCCUGUGCUGUCACUGGCUUGGUGACACUUCCUCUGGGAGUUCUCCCAGGGGCAGACCACCUGUGCUGGGAGUGCUGGUUGAGCUGUCUCCCUGUAGACAUCUACCUUUAGCCCAGGUCCUGGAACAUGGGAGGUCUUCAACUAGCAGUGAGCACCCUAACAAAUAUCCUCAUGGAACAUCAGUCAUCGUACCUAUUUAUAAUUAUUUACUUCUUUAAGAUUAGUUGAAGAAUAAGUUUUGGGGAGGAAAAAAAAACAUGCCGCAAAAGUAGCAUCAUCAACAGUCUGGUUUCUCAACGUGCCACUGGUAGCUGGGUGGGCCCAGAGCCUGGUAGAAACACUGGUUCAGACCUGAUCCAGACUGGCUGAGUCAGCAUUUACUUUUCGGGUGUCUUCAGGGCCCUUGCAGAUGAGGGAGAGAAGCUCGUGCAGGAUGCUCUUCCCAGACCUGGGAGCAGCGGAGCUUGUGGAUUCUCACCUCUGGGGAGACUCCCAGCCACAAAGCCAGGGAUUUCCCAGCUCUGGUGGGGGGGUGCUGCCAAAAGGGGACACACAUGCUCACGGCUCUGGGGGUGGCUAGGGACCCCUCCUUCACUCCUGCAGCGUGUAGGCCAGUGGCCUAGGAGGAGUGAGAACAACCCGCUGCCUUGGCUUUCUCUGGCCCCCUUGUCCUCGAGGGACCCUGGCUGACUAACACCUUUGCCCUGCCCAGGCGGAGAUUUUGGUGCCCCAUACAGGGAGAUGUGCUAAGAGGCGACUUUGGCCUCAAUUAGUCCCAGGCUCCAGAUAAGAGGAUUCCAGAUCCUUACCCAUGCAGGCAACUGCAGCCCUCCUAGUCUCCCUUAGACGUACCUGCCUUCUCUCCUGCUCCUGGGAACAGCCCUUGCACUCCAGUCUUGGGUGGAUUGUGAUUCUGCACUAUUAUUUUACCAUGAGCUGAGGUCGGGAGAAGACUACUAUUCCAAGUCUGGGCCCAGCUAGCCAUUUAUUCCAUCAGUCCUUUUUGAGCACCUACUGUGUGCCAGGUGCUCAGCUGGGCACUGAAGACACAGCAGUCACCACCCUGGCCCUCAUUCUCCAGGAAGACACUGGCAAAUGAUGGUUAAGAAGCCAAAAUCAGCAUUUUGCUCAUCAGCUGCGUGACCUCUGGAACCUCUCAGGGUCUCGAUUUCUUCAGAUUUAAAAUGGCAAUGGACAGGUGGUUUCCCUGAGAGGGUUUCUGUGAGGAGGAAGUGCGUUAAUGCACAGUGCCUGGCGAUACUUAUGCAGACAGGAAGGGGGCUGCUCAGGGACCAAGUGCUAAGUGUGAGCAACCCUCUGGGUCUCCUGCUAUAUUCUAAAACCCAUUUGAAUGCUGGCAGACUGUCCUUCAGCUGUCCUUUGGCACUCAGGGCCUGAGACCCCAGCUUCCCAUCUGCUCAGAGGGGAAUUUAGUCUCCUCCUCAGGUGGGAGUGAAGACUGACCGAGCCAUGUAGACAGGUGUGUGGUGGUGCUCAGAUCAGGGGUCCUGUCCUCCUCAGCUCUUGGGGAGGAUCUCCAUGUCUGAACUGGUUUCUCUAAUCCUUGAUUUAUUGCCGUGACGGUGUUUGUUCUUUGUGAGUCCUUCUGCUUCAGCUUUGUGAUGAAUAAAUCCUUGAUCACAGUCAAUUCCUCAAA